UAAUACGUAGGGUGCGAGCGUUAAUCGGAAUUACUGGGCGUAAAGUGUGCGCAGGCGGCGUCGCAAGUCGAGUGUGAAAUCCCCGGGCUUAACUUGGGAAUUGCGCUCGAAACUACGAUGCUGGAGUGUGGCAGAGGAAGGUGGAAUUCCACGUGUAGCGGUGAAAUGCGUAGAGAUGUGGAGGAACACCGAUGGCGAAGGCAGCCUUCUGGGCCAACACUGACGCUCAUGCACGAAAGCGUGGGGAGCAAACAGGAUUAGAUACCCUGGUAGUCCACGCCCUAAACGAUGAUGACUAGUUGUUGGGGGAGUUAAAUCCCUUAGUAACGCAGCUAACGCGUGAAGUCAUCCGCCUGGGGAGUACGGUCGCAAGAUUAAAACUCAAAUGAAUUGACGG
rnacentral:rRNA from 1 species